GACGAAGGACCCAAGCGUUAUCCGGAUUCAUUGGGCUUAAAGGGCGCGUAGGCGGGUUGAUAAGUCAGGGGUGAAAGCCCAACGCUUAACGUUGGAACUGCCAUUGAUACUGUCGAUCUUGAAUGUGUGUGAUGUGGGCGGAAUAUGACAUGUAGCGGUGAAAUGCUUAGAUAUGUCAUAGAACACCGAUUGCGAAGGCAGCUCACAAGGCCACUAUUGACGCUGAGGCACGAAAGCGUGGGGAGCAAACAGG
rnacentral:rRNA from 1 species